ACGUUGAAGACGACGACGUUGAUAGGUCGGGUGUGUAAGCGCAGCGAUGCGUUGAGCUAACCGAUACUAAUGAACCGUGAGGCUUAACCUU
rnacentral:rRNA from 2 species